ensembl:lncRNA
GUGGGUGUGGGUAACUGAAGAAAAAUGCAGUUUUACAGUAAUGUCCGUAACACACGGAUGACGUAAGGCUGUGUCUGACCUGGAGUGCAGCAGCUGAGUCUGACAGCAUCAUCCGCUCACAUCAGGCUUUCCUGCACCGUCAGCAGCGGAUCAGCUUUCUCCAGACACAGAUCUGUGAAUCAUCUCUACAGACCAGCUGUCUGCUGGUAAACACGAGCCAAACCGGCACCGAGACCGGCUGCCCACAAACUCAAUCCUUCCCUCCGGCGGCUGCUAAUGCAGGAUGAGCUCAUGCUCUCAGAGACACACUCACUUAAUACAUCCAUAUAUGAUUUGAUGUGAUGUGAUGUGACGAGACGAGACGAGACGAGACGAGACGAGACGUGACGUGACGUGACGUGACGUGACGAGACGAGACGAGACGAGACGAGACGAGACGAGACGAGACGUGACGUGACGUGACGUGACGAGACGAGUUGUGAUGAGAUGAGAUGAGAUGAGAUGUGAUGAGUUGAGAUGUGAUGUGAUGUGAUGUGAUGUGAUGAGAUGAGUUGAGAUGUGAUGAGAUGAGAUGAGAUGUGAUGUGAUGUGAUGAGUUGUGAUGAGAUGAGAUGAGAUGAGAUGAGAUGAGUUGAGAUGUGAAGUGAUGAGACGAGACGUGAUGAGAUGAGAUGUGAUGUGAUGAGAUGAGAUGAGAUGAGAUGUGAUGUGAUGUGAUGUGAUGAGAUGAGAUGUGAUGAGAUGUGAAGUGAUGAGAUGUGAUGAGAUGUGAUGUGAUGUGAUGUGAUGUGAUGAGAUGAGAUGAGAUGAGAUGUGAUGUGAUGUGAUGAGAUGAGAAGAGAUGUGAUGAGAUGUGAUGAGAUGUGAUGUGAUGAGAUGAGAUGUGAUGUGAUGUGAUGUGAUGAGAUGAGAUGAGACGAGACGUGACGUGACGUGACGUGACGUGACGAGACGAGACGAGACGAGACGAGACGUGACGUGACGUGACGUGACGAGACGAGUUGAGAUGUGAUGAGUUGAGAUGUGAUGUGAUGUGAUGUGAUGAGAUGAGAUGAGAUGAGAUGAGAUGAGUUGAGAUGUGAUGUGAAGUGAUGAGAUGAGAUGUGAUGAGAUGAGAUGUGAUGUGAUGAGAUGAGAUGAGAUGUGAUGAGAUGAUGUGAUGUGAUGAGAAGAGAUGAGAUGAGAUGAGAUGAGAUGAGAUGAGAUGAGAUGAGAUGAGAUGAGAUGUGAUGUGAUGUGAUGUGAUGAGAUGAGAUGUGAUGAGUUGUGAUGAGAUGAGAUGAGAUGAGAUGAGAUGAGAUGUGAUGAGAAGAGAUGUGAUGUGAUGAGAUGAGAUGAGAUGAGAUGUGAUAGAUGAGAUGAGAUGAGAUGAGAUGAGAUGAGAUGAGUUGAGAUGUGAUGAGAUGUGAUGAGUUGAGAUGUGAUGUGAUGUGAUGUGAUGUGAUGAGAUGAGAUGAGAUGAGAUGAGAAGAGAUGUGAUGAGAUGAGAUGUGAUGAGAUGAGAUGAGAUGUGAUGUGAUGAGAUGAGAUGUGUUGAGAUGAGAUGAGACGAGACGAGACGUGAUGAGAUGAGUGUAAUGUCAAUAUCUCAAGUAAAUCAUUGAAGGUUUCUACACUGGAAGAGUCUAAAGUGUGACAUCACAAGCUGAUGGACAGUUCGUUUUGUGCCUGCACUGCACUGCUGCUCCAGACAUUUUCCCCCAUCCCCAAACAUAACAAAUAUAAUGUAAGAUAAAUGAAAAUUAAAUUAAAUAAUAA